UCGACCGGACCUCGACCGGCUCGU
rnacentral:ncRNA from 2 species